GCUCUCCUGGCCCAGUUGGUUAGUGCGUCGUACUUAUCAGCAGUACUUGAGUGUAUGCGAAGGUCGAGGGUUCGAUCCCCUCCGAGAGCA
rnacentral:tRNA from 1 species